UCAAGAUCCAAAUUUUAAGUCAUAUAUUGAUCUUACUUUGCAGUUUCAUUAACAAUCAAACAUUCCGUAUCGUCGUUGAAUUCAGCCAGAGUAGCUUCUCCGAAAUUAGUCAUCUGAAGACAAAAUAGAUUGAGAAAUCUCUUACAAUACUCGAUUCGCUGGUGCUUCGUUCAACUUCGGUAGUAAUAACAGCUUCAUUCGGUAUAGAAAACAGAUGUUGAAACACAGGUGAGGCGGCAGCUAGGAUGAAUUUAUGAGCAGUGAAUCCUAUAUUAUUGACGACGAAUACGACAUCGGCGUGUUGCUGUUGAUGAUACAACCAUUGUAUGUUUUCUUCGUACGUAGAUGCGAGGACUUGAGCUGGCGGUGGAAUUGGUUUCGGAGGACAGUACGGUAGCUGUUGAAAUAACCCAAACCCAAGAUUAAUAUACCUUAUGUGAAUUUUUGCAUCGUUGGAAUAGUAUGAAAGUUGAAAAUGGAAAUGAUUCGUUAUAUUACCUAAUGAAAGGACUCCGGUCUCGAAAAAAGCUCAA